rnacentral:ncRNA from 1 species
UGUUUGGAGAGUUUGAUCCUGGCUCAGGACGAACGCUGGCGGCGUGCUUAACACAUGCAAGUCGAGCGGAAAGGCCCUUCGGGGUACUCGAGCGGCGAACGGGUGAGUAACACGUGAGUAACCUGCCCCUGACUCUGGGAUAAGCCUGGGAAACCGGGUCUAAUACCGGAUAUGACACUCCUCC